UCUAUGCAGAAAUGAGCCCGAUAAACUAAACGGAGAAGAAAUGAAAUUCGCCUCUUUCCUUAUUUAUAAAAAACGAUUAUUAUCAGAGUUCACCUGUCAAGCUAAUUCGAUUUUAGCUUACUUCACUGAGUCAUAAAACAUGCUUGUGUUGAACGCCAGGUGAAGACUUUCAAAUGAAACCCAAAUUACUGAAGGAUCUCAUAAGAAGUAAACAUGGUCACAGUGAAGCAGUGGCAUAUGAAGUUCCAUACUGUAGUUCAAUAUUACCAACUACCCAUACAACCUUCUGGAUGCAUCUUCUGAAAUCAGUCCUUGAUCAAAAACCAGAUGUCCUGACAAACAGCAGUUUCAAUAAGUAGGGGCUUGUUUCCUCAUUCCCUUUGUCCCAGAGAAGCUUCAAGCUGCUAGUGACGCAUACAUGGAGGUUUAAUACCACUAAGAGCAUCUGUUUCAUACUGUUACAGCACAGAGCUCACUCCUUUACAGCUUUAAACAUGAACUGUUCCGUCUGUCCACUCUGUUCUCCAUCCGUUCACUAAUUUCUACUUUUUUCCCCACUCUCACAUGAUCUCUUGUUAACAACUGCUGCUAAUGAAAACUGGGUCA